rnacentral:lncRNA from 1 species
CUGAUACGGUGCUUUUUGUCCGCAAUUUGCUUUUUGUCCGCUUUUGCUUUUUGUCCGAUAAUUUUGCUUUUUGUCCGACACUUUUGCUUUUUGUCCGUUGCUUUUUGUCCGUUUCGCUUUUUGUCCGAUAAUUUCGCUUUUUGUCCGACACUUUUGCUUUUUGUCCGUUGCUUUUUGUCCGUUUUGCUUUUUGUCCGAUAAUUUUGCUUUUUGUCCAACAAUUUUGCUUUUUGUCCGUUGCUUUUUGUCCGUUUUGCCUUUUUAGCUCACCUGGACCAGAGGGUUAAGUGAGUUUUUUUCAUCACUUGGCAUCCGUCGUCGUCGAUAACUUUCAGAAAAUCUGAAACUAAUGGCAAACUUAAAGCAAAUAUGGCCACAAUCAUCCUUAGGGUAUGUAGUUUCAAAAAGGUAUCCGAUGAUCCCGCCCAAAAAUCAAGAUGGUCGACAUGUCUAAAAAUAGAACAUUGUGGUAAAAUGUAGAUUUCAGCUUAUAUCUCUGAAACUAAAGCAUUUAGUUCUGGGAUAAAAAUAUUCAUCAAGUCAUAAUCUAUAGCCCGAGAUUUUUCAGUUACAUUAGACAACGCGUUUUGGGGUUGCUGCCCCUGAUAUUUUAAUUUUAAGGUAAAUUAGCAUUUUUUAGUUU